rnacentral:rRNA from 1 species
GACGUAGGGCGCGAGCGUUGUCCGGAUUUAUUGGGCGUAAAGAGCUCGUAGGCGGCUUGUCGCGUCGAAUGUGAAAACCCACGGCUCAACUGUGGGCUUGCAUUCGAUACGGGCAGGCUAGAGUUCGGUAGGGGAGACUGGAAUUCCUGGUGUAGCGGUGAAAUGCGCAGAUAUCAGGAGGAACACCGUGGCGAAGGCGGGAUCUCUGGACAGCUCUCGAUGACACUGAGGCACGAAGGCCCAGGGGAGCAAACGGGG